rnacentral:sRNA from 1 species
CCAUUUUCCGUUUUCUUCACACCACCACUGCCGUCAACUUCUUCCUUUUCCUUAUUAACAGGAAGACCAUCAAGGCCUAGAGUGACUUCUUCGGCAAUAAUGCCAGUGUCGGUAGUGCUCGAUAAGGGCGAACCACGUGAAAGGUUGGGAAUAGAAGAGAGGAGGUGUUGGGCUGCAAGCUGACCCCCUUUGAAUCCCGCUUGGAGGUAUGUAUCUUGGAACUAAUAAUCUUGACGUUAGCAACUUGUAAAGAAGACAAGCGUAAAGCUUCGAAUAGAAGGUUUUGCACUCACUAUAAGACCGUCUCCGUCGAUUAAUACCGCAGUGAACGAUGUUCCGACGUUCUAAAGUCGAUACACAUUAGUCAAUUCCUACUUUAUUGCACACGCUUGGAGAUGGCGAGGUGAAAAGGAAUGGUAAGGGGAAGGGAAAAAUAAGAGGCGGAAAGCUCCAUCCCCAUUCCACCCACUUUUUCCUCCAACCUCUUCCUCUCCCUCUCCGCCCGUGCCCACUCGGAUUUCCACAUUUCGACUUCCUUACGAAGCCUUUCUACUUCAUCCGCUUGGGCCACCAAUGGGUUAAGAAGGAUGGUUAGGGAUUCAAGGUGACGAGUUAUCUGGGUUGCGGUAGUAUCGUUUUGCCCGCCGGCCCCGGAUGCCAAAGUGGUCGGAGCCGCUGUAUGGUUUGGUGUUUGAGGUUGUGCGUACGAUUGAGAUUGGGACGGUGUUUGAUUCCCAUAUGUCGAAGACGGGAGAUAAUGAUGAUUACUCGGAGAAAGAGAAGAUCGGUACUGAGCAGAAGAGACGGGUGAGAUCUUGCCCAUAAAAGGUUGAUAACCAGCAAACGUCCCCGUAGUCGCCUUGGACUGCGUGCUCCCGCCCACAGGCCCUCCUAUACCCAUCCCUUUUCCACCCAAACCCAAACCCGAACCCGAACCCAAACCCAUCCCUCCUCCACCGAGACCUACACCAAACCCUCCAGGAGCAGGCGACCCCCUUCCCUGUCUCUGCACCGUACCCAUACCCAUACCCAUGCCCAUACGCAUGGCAUUCCGGUCCCAAGUCUCCUCAUCAAACCUCUUCCCACCUUCCCGGCUCUCUCUUUCCCAACGUCUGCGAAAAUCGUCGAUGCCUCCGGUUACAUCAUCCUUACCUUGGGAUUGGUAUUGAUGUUGGAAUUGGAGUUGGGAUGGUACUUCUGAUUGUGACUGCGACUGUGAUUUCGAUUGAGACUGAGACUGGGAAGGGGGGUGAGAGCGUACCUCCAGUCCGGAGGAGAGCCCCGUCCGAUGUAAUCGCGUUUGCACCAACAAAUUCGUCAAAUCCGACUCUACAUCCGCUUGAUCCCUCCUUUCUCCCAUCACCACAUCCCUAUCCCUAUCUCUAUCCCUACUCAUGUCCCUAUCACGAUCGAUCGGCGUCCUAGGUCGAAUUCCUAAUUGUCGUUGAGAUGGGCUCGCCGCCCUCAACUGACGAGGAUAUGCAGCCGCUGGCGCGGGCGCAGGCGAAAGAUUAUUUAUAGCUUGAGGUUGUUCGCCGAUAACACCUAUAGAUGGUGAAGGCUGGCCUAUCGCGCCGUGCGGGUUUAAGUUUAGGUGGGACUCGAACAUCCUUUUUUUUAUUUGUUUGGUGGUAAUUCGUGGGGAGACGAAAACCGUUUACUAUGGUUACAAGUCUGGUUUUGUUUUUUCUGGGCUGGAAUGAUAUCAGCUAUUUGGAAGCUGAUUGAAUCGCUUACUUACUGUUAUAAGCAGGGUAUUGUUUUCCUUUAAUACGUUGGAUUCUUUAAGCUAUGGCUAUAAAUCUGGUGAUAUGCCCGAC